AACGAACGCUGGCGGCAGGCCUAACACAUGCAAGUCGAACGCUGUAGCAAUACAGAGUGGCAGACGGGUGAGUAACGCGUGGGAACAUGCCCUUCGGUUCGGAAUAACUCAGGGAAACUUGAGCUAAUACCGGAUACGCCCUUAGGGGGAAAGAUUUAUUGCCGAAGGAUUGGCCCGCGUCCGAUUAGCUAGUUGGUGAGGUAAUGGCUCACCAAGGCGACGAUCGGUAGCUGGUCUGAGAGGAUGAUCGGCCACACUGGGACUGGGACACGGCCCAGACUCCUACGGGAGGCAGCAGUGGGGAAUAUUGGACGAUGGGCGCAAGCCUGAUCCAGCCAUGCCGCGUGAGUGAUGAAGGCCCUAGGGUUGUAAAGCUCUUUCGCCAGGGACGAUAAUGACGGUACCUGGAUAAGAAGCCCCGGCUAACUUCGUGCCAGCAGCCGCGGUAA
rnacentral:rRNA from 1 species